ensembl:lncRNA
AACAGCUCCAAGGGAAGCUACCAGGGUGCACUCCGGGGGAGCCUAUGCUUGCUAUCAUCACGGUUAUAACUACAUGGCAAAACCACACGCAGCCCCUGGCCACCGAACUCAACGCCUCGGAAGAGAACGGAACCGUGAAGACACAGGUGAAAGCCAUCUACCUCAACAAUCCGAGACAGCAGUACGAUUUUAAAGAAGAAAAAAAAAAUUCUAAAAGGGCUUAAACUAGGAUCUCCAGAGGGUCACCGUAAUCUCUCCUGAUACCCACAGCCCCUGCCUGAGAAGGAACACAUCUGAAGGACUGGGUGGAGGACAGAAAGCAGAGAGGAAGGCAAGACGGGAAGGCAGAAGAGGUGCAGAGCUCACCACACCGCCAGUUCCCUACAGAGCACCAAGCUCCAGGGGCUUAAAGAUUCAG